rnacentral:rRNA from 1 species
CGAGUGGCGGACGGGUGAGUAACGCGUGGGUAACCUGCCUUACACAGGGGGAUAACACCUGGAAACAGGUGCUAAUACCGCAUAAGCGCACAGGGCCGCAUGGCCCGGUGUGAAAAACUCCGGUGGUGUAAGAUGGACCCGCGUCUGAUUAGCUUGUUGGCGGGGUAGAGGCCCACCAAGGCGACGAUCAGUAGCCGGCCUGAGAGGGUGACCGGCCACAUUGGGACUGAGACACGGCCCAAACUCCUACGGGAGGCAGCAG